GUUGUAAAGCACUUUUAUCAGGAACGAAAUACCACGGGUUAAUAACCUAUGGGGCUGACGGUACCUGAGGAAUAAGCACCGGCUAACUUCGUGCCAGCAGCCGCGGUAAUACGAAGGGUGCAAGCGUUAAUCGGAAUUACUGGGCGUAAAGGGUGCGUAGGCGGUUAUUUAAGUCUGUCGUGAAAUCCCCGGGCUCAACCUGGGAAUGGCGAUGGAUACUGGAUAGCUAGAGUGUGUCAGAGGAUGGUGGAAUUCCCGGUGUAGCGGUGAAAUGCGUAGAGAUCGGGAGGAACAUCAGUGGCGAAGGCGGCCAUCUGGGACAACACUGACGCUGAAGCACGAAAGCGUGGGGAGCAAACAGGAUUAGAUACCCUGGUAGUCCACGCCCUAAACGAUGCGAACUGGAUGUUGGUCUCAACUCGGAGAUCAGUGUCGAAGCUAACGCGUUAAGUUCGCCGCCUGGGGAGUACGGUCGCAAGACUGAAACUCAAAGGAAUUGACGGGGGCCCGCACAAGCGGUGGAGUAUGUGGUUUAAUUCGAUGCAACGCGAAGAACCUUACCUGGCCUUGACAUGUCUGGAAUCCUUGAGAGAUCGAGGAGUGCCUUCGGGAAUCAGAACACAGGUGCUGCAUGGCUGUCGUCAGCUCGUGUCGUGAGAUGUUGGGUUAAGUCCCGCAACGAGCGCAACCCUUGUCCUUAGUUGCCAGCACGUAAUGGUGGGAACUCUAAGGAGACUGCCGGUGACAAACCGGAGGAAGGUGGGGAUGACGUCAAGUCCUCAUGGCCCUUACGGCCAGGGCUACACACGUACUACAAUGGUCGGUACAGAGGGUUGCAAUACCGCGAGGUGGAGCCAAUCCCAGAAAGCCGAUCCCAGUCCGGAUCGAAGUCUGCAACUCGACUUCGUGAAGUCGGAAUCGCUAGUAAUCGCGGAUCAGCUAUGCCGCGGUGAAUACGUUCCCGGGCCUUGUACACACCGCCCGUCACACCAUGGGAGUGGGUUGCUCCAGAAGGCGUUAGUCUAACCGCAAGGAGG
rnacentral:rRNA from 1 species